rnacentral:rRNA from 1 species
UACGGGGGGGGCAAGCGUUGUUCGGAAUUACUGGGCGUAAAGGGCUCGUAGGCGGCCAACUAAGUCAGACGUGAAAUCCCUCGGCUUAACCGGGGAACUGCGUCUGAUACUGGAUGGCUUGAGUUUGGGAGAGGGAUGCGGAAUUCCAGGUGUAGCGGUGAAAUGCGUAGAUAUCUGGAGGAACACCGGUGGCGAAGGCGGCAUCCUGGACCAACACUGACGCUGAGGAGCGAAAGCUAGGGUAGCAAACAGG